UUUAGUUGUAUUUUACCGAUAGCAACUAUCGACUCCUUUGUACGUGUUGCUAGUCCCUAAUCCCUACCACAAAGUUGUGAACCAAUCAGCGUGAACCGUAACGUCACUCGUCACGUGGAGGGGACCGCCGGAGAGUGGUUUCCGAACGGAAAAGGUAGCGUAGGUAACUUUUUGUUUCGCAGUCUCGCGCUGUUAACAAAUUCUUGUGACGCGGCUAGUUUUAUUAAAAUAUAUGUUCGGCUUGUGAUUGUGGAGUGACUUGUGAAAUAUACAAUGGAUAUUAUUUAUUAAUUAUUUCAAGAGUGCAGUGUUGUAAUUAUAUCUUCGCAAAGUUUUGUAAACAAUGACGAUGGAUAAGCAACUGGUGUGGGUGCGGGACCCCAACGAGGGGUUCAUCCUCGCGCGCCUGCACGAGCUGAUGGGCGAGGAGGCCGACGUCUUCCCCAUCGACAACCGAUACCCCAAAAGAGUCUGCAGCUUCGAGGAUAUAUUCCCAGCCGGGGAUCCUGGAAAAGAUGUUGAGGAUAACUGCGAGCUGAUGUUCCUCAACGAGGCAACGCUACUGAACAACAUUCUAACUCGAUACAAGAAGAAUAAGAUUUACACAUACGUGGCGAACAUCCUGCUGGCUGUGAACCCUUACGAGGAUAUCCCUGACAUGUACUCGUCAAACACCAUCAAGAAGUAUCAGGGGAAGUCUUUGGGAGAACUACCACCUCAUGUGUUUGCAGUUGCCGACAAGGCCUUCCGUGACAUGAAGUCCUUGAAGCAGUCGCAGUCCAUCAUAGUAUCAGGAGAAUCCGGUGCGGGAAAGACUGAGUCCACGAAAUACAUCCUCAAGUACUUGUGUGACCUUUGGGCGAAGUCAGCCGGGCCGGUCGAACAGAAGAUUCUAGAUGCCAAUCCCAUCCUAGAAGCAUUCGGAAAUGCGAAAACAACUCGCAACAACAACAGUUCUCGUUUCGGCAAGUUCAUGGAGGUCCACUUCAACAACAAGUACCAGGUCGUGGGCGGCCAUAUAUCUCAUUACCUUCUAGAAAAGUCUAGAAUAUGCACGCAGAGUGCCGAGGAGAGGAACUACCAUGUAUUCUACCUGCUGUGCGCAGGCGCACCCCAAGAGUUACGCGAUGCUUUGAAUAUCACUAAACCCGAUGAUUAUUUGUAUCUGAAGAAUGGUUGCACACAAUACUUCACGACACCCGAAUCUGAAAAGAAACUCAGUGCUAACCGCAAGAGCAAGCUGCAAGAGACCAAGGGAGGUCUGCGCGAUCCCAUCUUGGAUGACGUUGAAGACUUCCAAAGGUUGCACCAGGCACUAUCCCGCGUAGGCCUGUCCGAGGAGGAGAAGUUCGCGGUGUACUCGGUGGUGGCGGGCGUGCUGCACCUGGGCAACGUGCAGUUCGAGGAGGACGCGGGCGCGCGCGGCGGCUGCCACAUCAGCGCCGCCGCCGAGCCCGCGCUGCGCGCCGCCGCCGCGCGCCUGGCGCUCGACCCCGACCCGCUGCGCCACGCGCUCGUGGCGCGCCUCAUGCAGAGCGCGCGCGGCGGACACAAGGGCACCGCCAUCAUGGUACCACUGAAGACAUACGAAGCGAACAACGCCCGUGACGCUCUGGCCAAAUCUAUCUACAGCCGCCUGUUCGACUACAUCGUACACCGCAUCAACGCCAGUAUCCCCUUCCAGGCCUCCGCCUACUACAUUGGCGUACUCGAUAUUGCUGGGUUUGAAUACUUCCAAAUGAACAGCUUCGAGCAGUUCUGCAUCAAUUACUGCAAUGAGAAGCUACAGCAGUUCUUCAACGAGCGUAUCCUCAAGAACGAGCAGGAGUUGUACAAGCGCGAGGGUCUUAACGUUCCAGAGAUCAGAUUCGUUGACAACCAGGAUUGUAUCGAUCUGAUUGAGAGCAAGCAUCACGGCAUCUUCCACUUGCUAGACGAAGAGUCGAAACUGCCCAAACCAGAGUUCGGAAACUUCACACAUUCCGUACACAAACACUUAGGGGCUAAUAACAACAGAUUACAACUGCCCCGCUCGUCUCGUCUUAAGGCGCACCGCACUCUGCGUGACGAUGAAGGUUUCCUUCUACGACACUUUGCAGGCGCCGUCUGUUAUAAUACGAACCAAUUCAUAGAGAAGAACAACGACGCUCUCCACGCGUCCCUCGAGUUCCUCGUACAGGAGUCCAGCAACGCGCUCGUGCAGCAACUCUUCCAGAACACCGACAACAACAACGCUAAAGGAAAACUCAACUUUAUUUCCGUGGGCGCUAAGUUCCAAUCUCAACUGUCGCAGCUGAUGGACAAGCUGAAGGAGAAUGGCACGAACUUCGUCCGCUGCAUCAAGCCCAACCCGCGCAUGGUGGGCGGCGCGGUGGAGGGCGCGCUGGUACUGACGCAGCUGCAGUGCAGCGGGACCACGGCCGUGCUCGAGCUCAUGGAACACGGCUACCCCUCGCGCGCGCCCUUCCACGACCUGCACGCCAUGUACCGCCGCUACCUGCCGCCCCGCCUGCAGGAGCUCUCGCCCAAGCUCUUCUGCGAGGCCAUGGUCCACAGUCUCGGUCUACACGACAAGGACUACAAGUUCGGUGUGACCCGUGUCUUCUUCCGCCCCGGCAAGUACUCGGAGUUCGACACUAUGAUGAAGUCCGAUCCCGAGAACUUGAAGUCCAUCGUCGACGCUGUACUGUCCUGGCUCGUGAAGUCCAGAUGGAGGAAGUCUAUAUUCGCUGUGCUGUCUAUUAUUAAAUUGAAAAACAAAAUCAUGUACCGUCGCCAAUGCCUGAUCCUCCUACAAAAGACGAUUCGCGGGCAUCUUGUCCGCCGCAAACACCGCCCGCGGUACCAGGGCAUCGCCAAGAUUAAGGCGUUACAACAUAACCUCAAAGACAUGGAGUCUGUGACGUCACAGCUCAAGAAAGACAAGGAUAGCGCGCAAAGGAAUAUCGAGAACUUGAGGAAUUCCAUCAGAAAUGCUUGUGUUGCUAUUAAGAGUAAUGUGAACAUAACACGUGCUGAAAUCGAUCAACUGUCAGCCAAGUUGACCAAAGACAUUGAGACCCAGAUGAGUGCGCUACAAAAAGCUAUGGUUGACCAGAAGAAUAGAGAGGAACAAGAGAGGCUGCGUAAGAUUGAAGCGGAAAUGCGCGCGCUGGAAGAGGCCAAACUCCGGGAGAUGGAGAGACUGCGCCAAGAGGAAGAACACCGCAGGCUUAAAGCAGAAAUGGAAGCUCGUCGCAAAGCGGAGGAGCAAGAACGGCUAAGACUUGAGGAGCAGGACCGCCUUGCCGCACUCAAACUGCAGAAACAGAUGGAGGAAGCUGCGAAGGCCGACCAGGAGAACAGAGAACGGCUAGAACAAGAGAGAAGGGACCACGAGAUGGCAGUGCGACUGGCUAAGGAAACCAACGGCCACGUCGAAGGCUCACCGCCACAGUUGCGCAGUUUCCCUACCAUGGAGUCAGUGAAUGGAGAGAAUAAAUUGAACAGGUCAGAACGUGUACGGAUGCAGCAAGCUAUGCAGGGCAAGCAAAAAUACGAUCUAUCUAAAUGGAAGUAUUCGGAACUUCGUGAUACUAUCAAUACGUCGUGUGAUAUUGAACUUUUGGAGGCUUGCCGCCAUGAGUUCCACCGGCGCCUGAAGGUGUACCACGCGUGGAAGGCAAAGAACGCUCGCAAGACAACCAUGGCCGACCAGGAGAGGGCGCCACAGUCGAUCAUGGAUGCCGGUAUGCUGUUUAACUCAACCAAGACCCCCCGGCUGCCGCAGAAGGGUGAGAUCCUGGGCGCCCGCCACCGCUACUUCCGCAUCCCGUUUGUCCGCGCCGGCGCGGGCGCGGCCAGCGAGCCCGAGCGGCGCGGCUGGUGGUACGCGCACUUCGACGGACAGUACGUGGCCAGGCAGAUGGAACUGCAUCCGGACAAGACGCCCGUACUGCUGCAGGCUGGCGUGGACGACAUGCAGAUGUGCGAGCUGAGCCUGGAGGAGACGGGGCUGACCCGCAAGCGCGGCGCCGAGAUCCUGGAGCACGAGUUCGAGCGCGAGUGGGCCCGACACGCGCCCGCCGCCGACAAGCGCGCGCCGCGGUAGACACGUGCGUACACACACACAACAUGCUUACAUCUACACCGUGGUCGAGUGGCAUAUCACAUUCCAUUCAAGAACUUAGAAAAACUAGAUAAGUCGUCGCAAAACGCAAAAUCGGAAAUAUUCCAUACACAUUGGAAUUAGAGUUUUAAUUAUACACACAUAAGAUGGAUUUUUGGAUGAAAUAAUAAUUAAGUGCUUUUAACGUGCCUCUACAGGUUCCUAGAUUUAUAUUAGUGCAAUAUAAUUAAAGGUCACUCAGUAAUGGUCAGAUAGCAAUAAUGUUAACAGCAAACUCAGAGUAAGUAAUAAAUUUUCAAAGAAAUAAAUAUUUUACCUGUAUAAGAUGAAGUCUAAAGUUCCCGUGCCUUAAAAAUGUAUUUAAAAGUUCCUGGCUUUAUAUCGACUGUAUUGUUACAUCACUAUGCAAUAGAACGUCUGAGUUUAAAAUCAGAAUUUGAGAAACAGUUGUUUAUGUACUUCGAAAUUGUAUAGCUAAUCGAUUUAUCGGUGCUACUUACAGCACUCUUUUAGUAUGAAAUAGUCGACUUAAUCGACUAAUAUACUAAAAUACUUUCCGAUUAUAUUUCCGUUAUAAUUAUUUAGUGUAAUGCCUCGUCAUCGCUGAUGAUGAUAACAACACAUAACAAAAUAAGUGAAUAAGAAUAAGUGACAUAAUAUUUUUGAUUUAUUUUAUACAACUUCGGUUUAUUAGUAGACUAAAUUCGAUUAAAUAUGUAUCAGUAAUUUAAAAAUACCAAUUGAAAUUUACUACGAAAAUAUUAAUAUAUAAAAAUAAUAAUUUAUAAUUUUGUUAGUAAGCUGUGAAUGUGAUUCGUAAUUCAGUUUACAACUUUAGGUCAGUAUAUUAAAAUGAAAAAUAAAAUAUAUUUAUUUGAACAUUCCUGUCUUGAGACUGGUGAAUGGUAGCUUUUGUAUUAUUUGAAUAGCAUUAUAAUUUACUAUAAGUGUUUUCUGAACAGUAUUUAAGCAAACAUUCCUGUAUUUUUACAUUUAUCACAGUUAAUGUUCAAGAUAUUUUUAUAUGUACAAGUUUUUUAAAGUACAAGAUAGUAAACAGAUCGUGCCUUAUUGUGUUAACCCGUUGUGCAUGACCACUCCAUUAUUGUAUAUGCUUUACCAAAUAAAACAUGAUGAGAGUUACAUA